GAGUUACCAAAGCAGUUGGGAAACAGAGGCAGAGGACUGCCCCCACUCUGUCCGCAGCAGGGGUAUGGGAGGCAGCUCGGGACACUCCAGGGACCAAGCGGGCAGUGGGCGCCGUCCCCGAGGAACACCCAGCCCAGCGCCCCUGGUUCUGGGCUGGUUGGCUUAUCGAGGCCGGUUGGCCAAAGCAUCAGGAAAGGGAACAUUCUCGGCCGGGUGUUGGAUACCAAAUUAUAAACGCCAGAGCACCUUGUGUAAAGAUGAAUAUCGUUUUGUUACUGCGGGAGGGAAUACACCUACUGCUUUGAAAGGAGUUUAAAAUAUUCAGCAGACAGCACCGCAUUGAAAUUAGUGCAUUGAGCUGCAGACCAAACUAAUUUCUAGAACAGUCUAAAAAGUAAAAACAAAGUUUGGCAAAAAUGACAACUUUGCUUGAGAACAGCUCUGGAAAAGCGAAUCCACUGAGAGCCGUGGGAAUUCUCCGCCAGCUGUGCUUCCCCAACCGAGGAAGAAUCCAACCCGGAAUAUCGUUUCUGGACCCCACCGCGGAGACCCCAGCUGGACCCUCUCCUGAAAACUGCCCGGGGAGGGGGGUGCGGUCUCAGCGCCCUCCACUGCGGGGUCCAAGGCGCAGUAGCGGGGCGCGACCCCAGCGCUCCAAGCCCAGCAUUCUUGGCAGCUCUCCAGGCCCCAGUCAGAGGCACAUUGACCUUGAAGUUGCACUUGACUCGCCCACUCGGGGCUGCCUGGUGGCGCCUGGGUCAGCUUGAAACCCACGCAGCUGAGGGAGCUAGGUGUGGGGUUCACCAUACUGCGCCCCCGCCGGAUUUGGGAGCGCGGGAUCUACUCGGAGGCAGAGAGAUUAGCCCCAGAGGUCAAGCCUUUCGGCGUCGUUUUGUCAUCUGUAUUUUCUCGUCCCCUUCGCCGCCGAGUCCUACAAAGCUCACUUCAGAGAGACUGGGUCCACAUGUGUGGGCUCAUGAGGAGGAGGACAGCGAGGGUGACGACGCUGGGGGACUAGCGCGAGCUGGCGCAUUCCUGGCAGUGAGCCAAGGGCCCCCCGUCUUGCUAGUCUUUCCAAGUUGCUUGGCAAUUCCAAAAAUUUCGACUGUGGGAAAGUUGAAACUUGUUCGUAUAGCGUUCUUUCGAAAAGAUUUUCCUUGUCUGUAUCUAUUUUACAGAAAACAUACUGGUCCUCACUACUGUUUGGGGACGAGUUAGCCUAAAUUUGAACAGACCUUGAAGACAAACCCUGAGCCCCGGGAGGCAGCCUUCUCAGCGCGAGGUGCACACACAAGUCCCCGAGCCCACCGCGAGGGUCUCACCUGGCUCCUGCGUGGUCUUUCCCCACUUUGGCGACUUUGAAGGCCAGGGGGACCGUACAGUGAGCGAAUAACUUAGCGCCUGCAUUAUCACUGCUGAAACCUCAGAGAACAAUGUAGGACAUGCGGGUGCAGGUAGAGCAAAACUAGUGAAAAGAGUUUAUGAGGAAUUCAUACCGCCUCGCCUACUUGGGACAACUCCUUCAUUCAGUUGUCCUCCCUAGGGGGCUGUUAUGCUUAUUUGUGUCAGACCCUUCUUUCCCCUGGAAUCUUAUCAUCACAGAAUAUUAAACAUUUGAAAAAAUUUUAAAGAUUAAACUUGUUCGAGGAAAAAAUGGUAAACACUGUUAGGGAUUGCCUGGCGUGCACAAAUUAAGGAAAGAAAGAAACUGAAAAUUUCAGCGCGGCUUUGGGAAUUUUUAGCUUUGCGAUUUAAAACCCACAGCGCCAUCUCCUGGUAAUGAGGAGAAUAUAGCGAUGGAUGACAAUACUGAAAUGCUGACUAUGAAAUACUCAAAUAUGAGAAACGCCUCAAAAAUUAUUUCAGUGAUAGGUUGAUUAUGAUUACAAAAUAUGAUCUGACAUGGACAUUUAUUAUCAUUAAAAGUUAUCAGACACAAUCCUGGAAGCUAAUUAUUUGUAAAUAGAAGUUUGUAUAUUUAUACAUACAUGUAUUUUAUAGAUUCAGACGCUUAUGCUGUGAAUUUACAAGAUAUGAUUCUAUAAUUUAUCAUAAAUACAUAAUUUUACAAAACAGUUCCCUGUUUUACUUUUUGUGAAUGAUUUUACCAUAUAUGGUAGAAAAAGAAUAAUAGGAUGUGGUGAUCUAUGGAGACAUAAAAUCUUCUAGAUCCUCAUUGUAUUUUACUAGUCAACAUUAAUAAAUACUUUAGCCCCAUUGUCUCAAUAACUUCUCACUUUAUCUAUGUCUUCUCAUCAUGCAAUCUUACAGAAUGUCUUACUGUCUUAAUGUUAAGACAUCAUGACAAAAAUGUGUUAACAUUAUUCAGACAUUCUGAUCCUGAAAUAUCAUCUGAAGUUAAAUUAUUUUCCAAAAGUUUAAUGCACAUAAUAGAAUCAUAAAUACUUAAUACUUUUCUAUUAAAAUGUUUCUGAAGUAUUCUUUCAAGCUUUUCUCCCUUUUAUAAAUAAGAUUGAAACACACUAAAAUUUAGAGAUGAUAUCCCUAUUAAAAACAUUUCUCCUCUAUGAUUGUAUACACAGGCCAGCUGCUUGAAAUAAAAAUAAAAGUAGAUAUGCUUUUUGUAGUGUACAAAAUAUUAUGAAUAUCCUUCAAAAUUGUAGAUCAAACAGACAAAUGUAAACUUCAGUUGAAAGAUUCAUUUUAUUUGAUUAAUUAAAGUGAAGAUCUAUUAAGCCAAAUA
ensembl:lncRNA BHLHE22-AS1 BHLHE22 antisense RNA 1